rnacentral:rRNA from 1 species
UACGUAGGGAGCAAGCGUUGUCCGGAAUCAUUGGGCGUAAAGCGCGCGUAGGUGGCCUCAUAAGUCCGCUGUGAAAGUCAAAGGCUCAACCUUUGAAAGCCGGUGGAUACUGUGAGGCUAGAGUACGGAAGAGGCGAGUGGAAUUCCUGGUGUAGCGGUGGAAUGCGCAGAUAUCAGGAGGAACACCAAUAGCGAAGGCAGCUCGCUGGGACGUUACUGACACUGAGGCGCGAAAGCGUGGGGAUCAGACAGG